rnacentral:rRNA from 1 species
GCAGUGGGGAAUUUUGGACAAUGGGCGAAAGCCUGAUCCAGCAAUGCCGCGUGUGUGAAGAAGGCCUUCGGGUUGUAAAGCACUUCUGUCCGGAAAGAAAUCCUUGGCUCUAAUACAGUCGGGGGAUGACGGUACCGGAAGAAUAAGCACCGGCUAACUACGUGCCAGCAGCCGCGGUAAUACGUGGGGUGCGAGCGUUAAUCGGAAUUACUGGGCGUAAAGCGUGCGCAGGCGGUUUGCUAAGACCGAUGUGAAAUCCCCGGGCUCAACCUGGGAACUGCAUUGGUGACUGGCAGGCUAGAGUAUGGCAGAGGGGGGUAGAAUUCCACGUGUAGCAGUGAAAUGCGUAGAGAUGUGGAGGAAUACCGAUGGCGAAGGCAGCCCCCUGGGCCAAUACUGACGCUCAUGCACGAAAGCGUGGGGAGCAAACAGGAUUAGAUACCCUGGUAGUCCACGCCCUAAACGAUGUCAACUAGUUGUUGGGGAUUCAUUUCCUUAGUAACGUAGCUAACGCGCGAAGUUGACCGCCUGGGGAGUACGGUCGCAAGAUUAAAACUCAAAGGAAUUGACGGGGACCCGCACAAGCGGUGGAUGAUGUGGAUUAAUUCGAUGCAACGCGAAAAACCUUACCUACCCUUGACAUGGUCGGAAUCCCGCUGAGAGGUGGGAGUGCUCGAAAGAGAACCGGCGCACAGGUGCUGCAUGGCUGUCGUCAGCUCGUGUCGUGAGAUGUUGGGUUAAGUCCCGCAACGAGCGCAACCCUUGUCCUUAGUUGCUACGCAAGAGCACUCUAAGGAGACUGCCGGUGACAAACCGGAGGAAGGUGGGGAUGACGUCAAGUCCUCAUGGCCCUUAUGGGUAGGGCUUCACACGUCAUACAAUGGUCGGAACAGAGGGUUGCCAACCCGCGAGGGGGAGCUAAUCCCAGAAAACCGAUCGUAGUCCGGAUUGCACUCUGCAACUCGAGUGCAUGAAGCUGGAAUCGCUAGUAAUCGCGGAUCAGCAUGCCACGGUGAAUACGUUCCCGGGCCUUGUACACACCGC